rnacentral:rRNA from 1 species
GAUGAACGCUGGCGGCGUGCCUAAUACAUGCAAGUCGAGCGAACAGACGAGGAGCUUGCUCCUCUGACGUUAGCGGCGGACGGGUGAGUAACACGUGGAUAACCUACCUAUAAGACUGGGAUAACUUCGGGAAACCGGAGCUAAUACCGGAUAAUAUAUUGAACCGCAUGGUUCAAUAGUGAAAGACGGUUUUGCUGUCACUUAUAGAUGGAUCCGCGCCGCAUUAGCUGGUUGGUAAGGUAACGGCUUACCAAGGCAACGAUGGGUAGCCGACCUGAGAGGGUGAUCGCCCACACUGGAACUGAGACACGGCCCGGACUCCUAAGGGAGGCAGCAGUAGGGAAUCUUCCGCAAUGGGCGAAAUCCUGACGGAGCAACGCCGCGUGAGUGAUGAAGGUCUUCGGAUCGUAAAACUCUGUUAUUAGGGAAGAACAAAUGCGUAAGUAACUAUGCACGUCCUGACGGUACCUAAUCAGAAAGCCACGGCUAACUACGUG